UACAGAGGGUGCGAGCGUUGUCCGGAAUCACUGGGCGUAAAGGGCGCGUAGGCGGCGCGGUAAGCGUGCGGUGAAAGCCCGGGGCUCAACCCCGGGCCUGCAUUCGAUACGGGCAGACUAGAGUGAUGUAGGGGAGAAUGGAAUUCCCGGUGUAGCGGUGAAAUGCGCAGAUAUCGGGAGGAACACCGGUGGCGAAGGCGGUUCUCUGGGCCUUACCUGACGCUGAGGAGCGAAAGCGUGGGGAGCGAACAGG
rnacentral:rRNA from 1 species